rnacentral:rRNA from 1 species
GACGAACGCUGGCGGCGUGCUUAACACAUGCAAGUCGAACGGAAAGGCCCUGCUUUUGUGGGGUGCUCGAGUGGCGAACGGGUGAGUAACACGUGAGUAACCUGCACUUGACUUUGGGAUAACUUCAGGAAACUGGGGCUAAUACCGGAUAGGAGCUUCUGCUGCCUGGUGGGGGUUGGAAAGUUUCGGCGGAUGGGGAUGGACUCGCGGCUUAUCAGCUUGUUGGUGGGGUAGUGGCUUACCAAGGCUUUGAUGGGUAGCCGGCCUGAGAGGGUGACCGGCCACAUUGGGACAGAGAUACGGCCCGGACUCCUACGGGAGGCAGCAGUGGGGAAUAUUGCACGAUGGGCGCAAGCCUGAUGCAGCAACGCCGCGUUCGGGAUGACGGCCUUCGGGUUGUAAGCCGCUUUCGCCUGUGACGAAGCGUGAGUGACGGUAAUGGGUAAAGAAGCACCGGCUAACUACGUG